GAUGAACGCUGGCGGCGUGCUUAAUACAUGCAAGUCGAGCGAACAGACGAGGCGCUUGCUCCUCUGACGUUAGCGGCGGACGGGUGAGUAACACGUGGAUAACCUACCUAUAAGACUGGGAUAACUUAGGGAAACCGGAGCUAAUACCGGAUAAUAUAUUGAACCGCAUGGUUCAAUAGUGAAAGACGGUUUUGCUGUCACUCAUAGAUGGAUCUGCGCCGCAUUAGCUAGUUGGUAAGGUAACGGCUUACCAAGGCAACGAUGCGUAGCCGACCUGAUAGGAUGAUCGGCCACACUGGAACUGAGACACGGUCCAGACUCCUACGGGAGGCAGCAGUGGGGAAUCGUCCGCAAUGGGCGAAAGCUUGACGGAGCGACGCCGCGUGAGUGAUGGAAGUCUUCGGAUCGUAAAACUCUGUUAUUAGGGAAGAACAAAUGUGUAAGUAGCUAUGCACGUCUUGACGGUACCUAAUCAGGAAGCCACGGCUAACUACGUG
rnacentral:rRNA from 1 species